GGCGCUCCUUUCUUUUGGUCAGUAGAUGCAGAAAAAUCUUUCGAAAUAUUGCGUUGUGAACUAUUAAAAUCGUGUAAUUUACAUUUACCUGAUUUGAAUAACCCUUUCAUAAUACAAACGGAUAGUUCAGAUAUUGGGAUAGGUGCCGUUCUCCUCCAAGAGCAAGAUAAAGUACGUUAUCCAGUUUGGUUUUAUAGUAGAGUUUUGAAUGAUGCUGAGAGGAAUUAUUCAGUUAGUGAGAAGGAGUGUUUAGCAGUUAUUCAGUCAAUUAAAAAAUUUAAAGGUUUUAUCGAGUAUUCGCAUUUUACAGUAGAAACUGAUCAUCAGGCGUUAUGUUGGUUGAUGAAGAUUAAGGAACCCACGGGUAGAUUAGCUAGGUGGGCUUUAGAAUUGCAAGGGUAUAAUUUUGACGUCGCAUAUAGGGCCGGAAAUUUGAAUCGCACGGCUGAUGCUUUGUCUCGAGCCGCAGCAGUUUAUGUAGUUGAGUCACUUCACAUUAGUAGAGAGGAGUUAGUUUCGGCACAGGAUGGUGAUUUCAUGUUAAAAUCUAUUAAGGAUUUUUUGUUAUUGUCUAUUCUUCCAAAUGUGGCGGUAGAGCAGAAGGAUAAAAUUUUGAAAUUAGCUAGAGAUGCGUUUGUCUCCUCUGAUGGUUGUCUGUAUAAACGAGUAAAUCCAAUAUCCAAACCAUGGGAAGACGACAUUAAUGAUUAUAAAGUAUGGGUGCCAGACAGUUUAAAGUUAAAGAUUUUAGAAUAUUUUCAUUGUUGUCUGUUAGCGGGUCAUUUAGCCAUUAGGAAAACUUAUUUUCGCAUAGAGGAGAGAUUUUGGUGGAAGUCAAUGAGAAAAGAUGUGGUCAAAUUUGUGUCGAGUUGUUUGACAUGUCAAAAAGUAAAGCCUGAUCGAACCGGAAGUAGUUUUUUAGGAAAAGCUGGAGAGAUUUGUGGGCCCUGGGAACGAAUUUCAAUUGAUUUAAUGGGUCCGUAUACUCGGGGUAUUAACCAGUCAAAAUUCCUUUUAGUUGUUGUCGAUUCAUUUUCUAAAUGGGUCGAGUUGUCUUGCAUACGUAAAUCGGAUGCUAAAACCAUUUGCACGAAAUUGUGGGAAUGUUUUUGUAGGUGGGGAGUGCCCAAAUCAAUUUUGUCUGAUAAUGGUACUCAAUUUCAAAGUAAAAUUUUUGAGGAUUUUUGUAAAACAGUGGGAUCUAAAUCGAUGCGAAUAUCCCCAUAUCAUGCUCAAGCUAAUCCCACUGAACGGUAUAAUCAAACAUUAAAAUCUAUGAUCGUUUCCACUAUUUCUCAGUGCAAGGACUGGGACCGUAAUUUAGCCGAGUUAAGCUUUGCAAUUCGUUCCACGGUCAAUGAAUCGACAGGGUUCUCACCAGCAUAUUUAAAUUUUGGUCGUGAGUUGAGAACCCCUCUAGAUAAUAAUUUAAGUAUCGCAUUGUCAAAGUGUGUAGUGGGAGAGGACUUUGCAAGGAGAAUUGCAUUGAUUCAUAGUUUAGCUAAAUCUAAUAUGGUCUUGAAUCAAGCAAAUUAUAUGGGAUGGUAUAACAAAGCUAGGGCAGAUUCGUCAUUUGAUGUGGGUGAUCAGGUUUUACUAAAAUGUCAUCAUUUGUCUGACGCAUCGAAAGGGUUCACUGCUGCACUUGCUCCAAAAUAUGAUGGUCCAUUUGAAAUUAUUGAGAAAAUAGGACUGUCAACAUUUGUUUUAAAAAAUAAUGAUAAUGGGGAGAUGAGAGGUAAAUUUAAUAGUAGUUUAUUAAAAAAAUUUAUUGCAGAUGAGUCUUUCGAAGAUACCGUGCGAGGAUCUCCCCGACGCCAAGACGUACCGGUCUCUACUGCGUAUGUUCCAGGGGCAGCGGAACAAACCAGGUUUUCAGCGUCACCCGAAAUUGGACCUGGUAGCGAAAGUUUGGAAGGAAGCCGGGUGUCCAAAUUUAGAACCACCACCACCGCUGCCACUGCAGAAAACAAAGACUUUCGAGGAGCGUUGGGUCGAGUUGAACCAGGAGGCCGAGACAUUGGAGCGAAAAAGGAUCCAAUUAUGGACAGAACAGGAAAAAUACCGGGCAGUAUUUCCUCCGCCACUUCCGCCGCCACCCCCACCACCACUUCACCUCCACCCCGCAAUGAAAAAGAUGACGAUUCCAGUUCCCCCAUCUCCCACCCAUCCAGAUCAACCGAACCUCAAUUACCAGCGUGGUAUUGCAGAACGUUGGGCUCGAGACAUCCAGCAAAAGCAACGUGACUCCGCAAAGCGAAAAGCGCAGUUGGAGAGAGAAUCUGCUGCGAAAAUCACAAAGUUUUCUUCAAGUUUCUCAAAAUAAUUUUGCAAUCAUCAUAUUCGAAUUAUUUGUUAUUGUAUCGAUUCAAUAUAUCAAUGUAUUCUAUUCAGCUCAAUGUUAACAAUAUGUGAAUGUCAUAAUAUGCGGUGCUUUGGGGGAGGGGGAGUGUGAUAUAUGUAUGUAUGUCCAGUUAAUAGUGAGAGAAAGUCAUUCGAGAGUAUUUUUAUAUAUUUACAUCCUGUGAGAAAGUCUGCUGAGAGUUAUUAAGUUGGCAGUCUUUGCAGCCUCGGUGCGGGCAUUUAAAUUAACUUUUAGAAGAUUUUUAUGCAUAAUUAGCGAGUAUUUAGUAGUAGCAAGUACUAGGAAAAAUGUCGUAUACCUAAUUAGUAGGAUAGCUUGUAAAUUUACGUGCUAAGUCGUAAUUAGUUAGGCUCGGGGGUUUCACCAGAGUAGUCAGGAGUUGGAAAUUCGCUACGAGAGUAGUGCGUUGCGUCCAGCUCGAGGUUGCCAAGGUGAAGCAGCGGUCAGCAGCAGCAGCAGAAGGAGUCAUCCAGUAGUAACGUAAGUCGUAGCAGUACAAGAUUUGGCUGUCCGAUCUUGGUUGUGUGUUGUUGGUUGGUUGUCCACCCUCAAUACAGAUAGGUAGUAUAUUAGAGUGGGGGUUUUCUCGUUCUUUUGGGGGCAAUUAUAUUAAAUAGGGCAAGUUUGUUUACUUUCUCAGCUGAGGCAGAAUUAAUAGUGGUCACGUCAUUGUUCUCAGUAGCUAAAGCAGACCUAGGCAGAUUUGUUGAAGUCAAUAAAUCGUAAAUUGUCAUUGGUAUUUGUAUGUGUAUUGCGUCAUUAUUUAAUUGGUAAAUAGUUAAGUUAUUUCAUCACGAGCAGUAAGAACCCGGGUAACGCGUGGGAUACGCAAAAGUGUCGUAAUUAGGGUCGGGAAGGCAUAAUUCGUCACAUUACUAACGUGUUUACGGACGGACGGACGGACAUGACGGUUCCAUAAGCCCUGCCUCGGGCUAAUAAAAAUGAAAAUUUAUUUUAUAACUCGGCCAUUUGUCGUAACCUUAUAGACGGAUAAAGUGUCAAAUAAUCUUGUCAAACUACAUAUCAACGCAAGUGAGCAAAUAAUUAAUUAAAUCGAAUUUAUUCUGAAGGUUGGUUAGCUUUUAACUUAAUUCUCAUAGCGGGUAGCGGGUACCCGUGCGGGUACGGGUACUUGUGCUGCGGGUAGCGGGUCGGGUAACGGGCAGCAUUUUCGCUACCCGCGGCAACCCUACUAACUUGUGUGCAUAUUUUCAACAUAGUAGUUAAAUAGAUAGAUAUAUUGAUUCAUGCUAUAAUAAAUUUGUCAAUAAACCCUCAAAAUGGUGUGAUAAUGCUGAUAGAUAAGGAUAAGAACCCCCAGCGCAGACUUGGUUUAGCCCGAGUCAGGGACAGAUUCCGCUUCUGAAUGUGUGUCACAGGUGAUGAUCAGGGAAUAAAUCUUGCUCGCACCGGCCCAUAAGCGGUGCGAGCAAGCUAUGGUGAGCCUAUGGGCUGGUGCGAGCAAGAUUUAUUCCCUGGUGAUGAUGUGACGUGACCAAUUAAAUACUAUCAUCUUCCGUGGUCUGCAUGGUCGAAUGUUAGUCGAAUAUCUUCUAUUGUUUGACAUCAAAAUUCUGAAGUAUUCAUAAAUUCUAGCCCUAGACUACCAGAACCAGUGGGGUUUGCUUCAAAUUUUUAAAUUCCGAAGCUGUACUUCCUACACAUAUGUACAUAAUUGACCCAUUUUGCCCACUUUCGAACUCGGCUUCUACUUUGACCCAUACUACAUGUGUGCAGAAUUUCAAAUCGAUCCGAUUAGUUUAAAGAGAGUUAUCAGGAAGACGGACAUAACAGUUACAUAAGCCCAGGUCCGGCAAAAAAUGAUGUCAUUGGAGUUUGCAGCAUGGAUAAGCUGUGUGGUUUACCUGUAAGUACAUAACAUAGCAUGUACAUAAGUCACUACACUUACAUUCGGAAUAAUAUAGAGAAAAAAAUUUGGUACUUUGUCGGUCAUGAAUAAUUGUUUCCUGAAUACUUAGUGAUAUCGGAAAUGGAGUUUUAUUGUUUUGUAUCCUCGUUGUACGUCUAUUAAUUACCAGUUUAACUAACCAUCAGGUCGAUUUUAGUUUGGGCCAUUGAAAUGUUGUGACACAAAUGUUCUCCGAAAUGCGUCAGUUCGCAAUUUAAUCUUUGCUACUCAUCUUUUCAAAUAAAGUUAUAAAUAGUGGCAGAAACGCUCCAUAACUCGGAAAUAACAUCAAUUUUUUAGACAAAAUGGGAAAAAGUAACAUGAUUUUGGUGACCUUAAUACUUAUAUUAUUAAUAUUCUGGUGUUUAAAUAUAAGCAUAAGUGUACUGAAUGUCGCAGUAGAAAACUUUAUGUUCAAGAACAAGGCUCAAGAUGUACUGGACAAACACAUUACUCAGAUAACGCCAGAAGGAUAUACAUUCAUGAUAUGGAUUCUAAUAUUUGGGUGGCUACUUGGAGGAUACAUAUUCCUGAUAAUUUGCAUGCUCAAGAGCAACAAAGAUGGGUCGGGAAAAGUUCUUUAUUCGCCAGAAGUUUUCACUUCAGCAGUGGCUGGAAUUCUCAUUCUCAAUUGUGCUUUGCACGUCUCCUGGCUCUUCAUUUGGGACAAUGACUACUUAACCGUGGCGUCUGCCACUCUUUUCUGUAUCAUGGGAACAAACUGGGUGGCCUUGGGACUAUUUUCGGCCAAUUUGUAUGAAAAUACCCAAGCUUUGCAAAAAAGCUCCCUCACGGUUCUAAACUGUUAUAGAAUUCUUCUUCAAAACUCUCUUGGAUUAUAUACGGCUUGGACCACAAUCGCAGCUCUGCUCAAUUUGUCAGUUGCAUUAGUUUAUGCAGAUGUUGCCGAUGCGACCGCGUCUUUGAUUUCACUUGGCAUUCUCAGCGGUUUGCUGGUCGUUUGGAUACCCCUGGACUUCUUCAUACUGGACAAAUACACGCGAUAUAUGAUUACACCGCUAUUUACUGUGAUUUGGGCACUUUCUUGCAUCUUUAUUCGUUUGGAAAAAUUAGAAAAUUACGAAGAUAACACUCCAAAACACUUUACGAUUGGAUUUUUAGGAAUGAUUGUAACGCUUGGAGUUGCACGAAUUUUUCUCACUGUGUUCAGGGCUAUUAAAUCUCCUCUUAAAUGAGGCUUGUACUUAUCACAAGUUCAAUCAAUCACCGCUCUCCAGUAUUUUUAAAGAUAUUAUUUAUUUAGUACAUCCUUACAUAAGUAACAAUAGUGAAAACCCCCUUUCAACGAGUAAAGUUUUUUUUUUAAAUUGCGUAUAAAUAUCACAUUUAUUCAAUUAUUGUUUUUAUAUAUAAAUCUAAACACAAGUCUUGCUGAGUAUCUCAAUUGUACUUUAAUUAAAGAGUGAUUGGAUGUGUGACGUAGGUACGAUACCGGAUUUGACAAGUAAAAGCAAGUUGUUAAAGAUGA